CGGGAUUGCCUCAGUAGCGGCGAGUGAAGCGGCAAGAGCUCAAAUUUGAAAUCUAGCGCCUUCGGUGCUCGAGUUGUAAUUUGUAGAGUGGAUCCUUGGGGCCGCUCCUUGCCUAUGUUCCUUGGAACAGGACGUCAUGGAGGGUGAGAACCCCGUGUGGCGAGGGGUGCGGCUCCGUGUAAGGGCUGCUCGAAGAGUCGAGUUGUUUGGGAAUGCAGCUCUAAGUGGGUGGUAAAUUCCAUCUAAAGCUAAAUACUGGCGAGAGACCGAUAGCGAACAAGUACAGUGAUGGAAAGAUGAAAAGAACUUUGAAAAGAGAGUGAAAAAGUACGUGAAAUUGUUGAAAGGGAAGGGCAUUUGAUCAGACAUGGUGUUUUGCGCCCCCUGCUCCUUGUGGGCGGGGGACUCUCGCAGCUCACUGGGCCAGCAUCAGUUUUUGCGGCCGGACAAAGCCGGAGGAAUGUGGCUUCCCUCGGGAAGUGUUAUAGCCUACGGGAACGCGGCCAGCGGGGACUGAGGAACGCGACUUUUGUCAAGGAUGCUGGCAUAAUG
rnacentral:rRNA from 1 species